rnacentral:lncRNA from 1 species
AGCUUCCUCCUGCAAUCUUUAUUCCUCGACCACCUCGACUGGCCAACGAUUACACUUUGGAAGAGCGUCUUCAUCGCCUUCAUCAUCGCCCAUACUUUACCACUCGUGCAGAACAGCGAGCUAAUCUCGCGGAGAUUGAUUAAGGUCUUCUCUUUUUGCAUGAUGCCAAAGGGGGAGAAUUUCUAAGAAUUUCAUGUUCUGUUUUUAGUUUGUUUUAAGACUAUGGUUUUUG